GUGGGGGAUAUUGCACAAUGGAGGAAACUCUGAUGCAGCGACGCCGCGUGAGGGAAGAAGGUCUUCGGAUUGUAAACCUCUGUCUUCAGGGACGAAGAAAGUGACGGUACCUGGAGAGGAAGCCACGGCUAACUACGUGCCAGCAGCCGCGGUAAUACGUAGGUGGCAAGCGUUGUCCGGAAUUACUGGGUGUAAAGGGUGCGCAGGCGGGUCGGCAAGUUGGAUGUGAAAUAUCCGUGCUUAACACGGGGGCUGCAUUCAAAACUGUCGGUCUUGAGUAAGGUAGAGGUAGGCGGAAUUCCCGGUGUAGCGGUGACAUGCGUAGAUAUCGGGAGGAACACCAGUGGCGAAGGCGGCCUACUGGGCCUUUACUGACGCUGAGGCACGAAAGCAUGGGUAGCAAACAGGAUUAGAAACCCGGGUAGUCC
rnacentral:rRNA from 1 species